UACGUAGGUGGCGAACGUUAUCCGGAAUUACUGGGCGUAAAGGGUCCGUAGGCGGGUUCCUAAGUCUGACGUGAAAGCUCCCGGCUCAACUGGGAGAGUGCGUUGGAAACUGGGAGUCUUGAAUGUCACAGAGGUCGGUGGAAUUCCCGGUGUAGUGGUGGAAUGCGUAGAGAUCGGGAGGAACCUCGAAAGCGAAGGCAACCGGCUGGGUGAACAUUGACGCUGAGGGACGAAAGCGUGGGGAGCGAACAGG
rnacentral:misc_RNA from 1 species